UGUUCCUGGGUGCGUUACGGUCUCUCGCGGAGGGAAAUGCGAAGAUGGGGGGUUGUUGUGGGGUGCGUUACAAUCUCUCGGGAUGGGGCUGCAAAGAUGGGGGGGUUGUUGCUGGGAGCGUUACGGUCUCUCGGGAAGGGAGAUGCGAAGAUAGAGAAGUUGUUGCUGGGAGCGUUACGGUCUCUCGGAGAUGGGGGGCUGUUGCUGGUGCCUUACCGUCUCUCCGGGUGAGGAGAUAGGGGGCUGUUGCUGGGAGCGUUACGGUCUCUCCGGAAGGGAGAUGCGAAGAUAGAGAAGUUGUUGCUGGGAGCGUUACGGUCUCUCGGAGAUGGGGGGCUGUUGCUGGUGCCUUACCGUCCCUCCGGGUGAGGAGAUAGGGGGCUGUUGCUGGGAGCGUUACGGUCUCUCGGAGAUGGGGGGUUGUCGCUGAGUGCGUUACCGUCUCUCCCCCGCGCACGCACCCACAAGGCGGAGGGGGGCGUUGCCAUGAGGGAGCGGGCCGACUGGCUGCGGGAGGCAGACGCCCGGUGCA